rnacentral:misc_RNA from 1 species
UUUCCGUAGGUGAACUGCGGAAGGAUCAUUAAUAAAUGGCUCCUGAUUUGGAGCGCUUAAUAAUCCUACCCUUUGUGAAUUUGUUGUUUGAAAUAAUUUUUUUUAAAAUUAUUGAUUGUCUUUCCCUGUUGAAUUGGAGCGUUUUCGGACGUAAAGAUUCGCAGGGAUAGUCAGUAAUUUUUAAAAAAGACUUUUUUUUAAAUUAAACUUUUGUGUGUAUUCAUUUGUCUAAAAUUAUUUUUAUAAUAUAAAAACAACUUUUGACAAUGGAUCUCUUGGUUCUCGCAACGAUGAAGAACGCAGCAAAAUGCGAUAAGUAGUGUGAAUUGCAGAAUACGUGAAUCAUCGAAUCUUCGAACGCAUAUUGCACUUUUUUAGUUUACUAAAAAAGUAUGUCUGUUUGAGUAUCAGUAAAAUAUUCUCAUAAAAACUUUUUUUUUUAUGGUUAUGAGUGUUUACAACGAUAACAAGUUGUUUCACUUUAAAUUUUUGUUUAAAAUAUUAAAGCUUUUUUUAAUUUUUUAAAAUUGGAUAAAAUUUUCCCGUAAAAAGGAAUAACCUAAACAAUUUUAAAUUAUUAGAAAAAAUCAUUUUAAAAGGAAAAAAACGAAAUAACUUGAUCUCAAAUCAGAUAAGAUACCGCUGAACUUAAGCAUAUCAAUAAGCGGAGGAAAAGAAACUAACUAGGAUUCCUAGUAACGCGAGUGAGCGGGAAGAGCUCAAAUUUGAAAUCUUCAAGGUUUUACCUUGACGAAUUGUAGUUUAAAGAAGUGUUUUCUGUUGAGUUUUGGUAAAAGUUCUUUGGAAAGGACAUCAUAGAGGGUGAGAAUCCCGUAUUUGACCAUUAUCUCAGCUUGUGAUACACUUUCAAAGAGUCGGAUUGUUUGGGAAUGCAGUCCAAAAUGGGUGGUAAAUUCAUCUAAAGCUAAAUAUGGCGAGAGACCGAUAGCGAACAAGUACCGUGAGGGAAAGAUGAAAAGAACUUUGAAAGAGAGUUAAACAGUACGUGAAAUUGUCAAAAGGGAAGCGUUUGACACCAGUGUUGUUUUCUCGAAAUCAAUUAAAAAGGCUGGAUUUUGUGUUGUAUUGACCUUAACAGCUUUCUUCACUCUUUUCCUGUCUUUUUUAAUGCACUUUUCGUUUAACAAGUCAACAUCAUUUCUUUUGUUGUAAAAGGGUCAUUGGAAGGUGGCUUUCUUUUCGGAGAAAGUGUUUAUAGCCUUUGAUCUCUGCAAUCGGAGAGACUGAGGUCUGCAGCGUAGACUCUUCGGGUUAGAUACAUUUGUGCUAAUUAUAGCUUUUAUAGACAACUUGUUGACUAUAUUAGUCUGUAGCUUACUCGCUUAUGCUAUUUUACUACGCUUAGGAUGUUG